UGAAGACAUCUAUACAGAAAUCGUGACUUAAAAUGACAGCGCCCCCUGGUGGCAGCAGGAAAUGUAUAGCUGACACUCUGAUGUAUUCCUGCUCAUCCAAUAUGCAAAACCAUGUCAAACUUUGUUUAAUGGGUCUCAAGACAUUGAUAAUGUAGCCAUAAGAUUAUUGUGACUUUUUAUCAUGCGGUUUAUUAAUGGCAUGGCUUGAAAGUUCAUCAGCUCGUCGGAGAGAGUCCCAUUGAAUCCCAUGUUAAAAUGCCCAAUUUUAGAGUAGAAUUAAACCUGUUUACAGCAUUAUUCAAACUUUGGUUUUAGUCUCAAUCGCUAUGUUCUUCCUUCAUUAAAACUCUGAGGGGGUGAACUUUUUCGUAACUACCUCUAUAUCGCUAUAAUAAGCGAUAUAGUGGUUUGAAAUUUACGUGACGUCACAGUGAGCUGCGCCCUCCCUUCUCCUUACUUUUUCCUGUGUCAUUGAACACAACUCGAGACUUUCGAAACCUCCCACUCAGUAUCGGAUGAAUAACACAGUUUGAUGUUUUGCUUGUUCUGCUGACGGACACGUUAAAGACGUCUGCGCUCCCGUUUCUGUGCAUGUCCAGCAUGAGACAACUGGAAUUCAACCACAUUGAACACCGACUUCAGGGACAGACGAGCCUGAAGGACACAGCUGUGAUGACCAUGUUCUGUCUCUUAUGGCAAAGCAGAAAUAUAAAACACUGGGUUCUUAUCUAAAGUGUAUCAAAUCAGAUCUCCACCAUGUUGCUGCUGAGGACAUCAGGUGCUGCAGUUCUUCAUCUAUGAAGAGAAAAAACGCACUGUUAAAGAAUGUUUUGUGUUGUGUAUAAAGCACAACAGAUUUCUGAUAGAACUGUUGUACUGUGGUCUUGGUUUAUAUCCUCAUGGUGAAAUGUACAUAUUUUAAGUCCCUUCUGAUAAAAGUGCUGAAAGAAAUACAACAUUGUACAAAUACAUAAAAUGUCUUUCUACCUCAUCAGUACUAUUCAAGGUGAUAAUCUCCCACAGACCUAUUGAUAACAGUCCAAAUCAAGUCUUUCCACUUCUCUCAGUGUGAAAACAUAAUUCUAUAAUUAAUUUGAGAACUGUUUACAACACUGAUGUGUGGAGAUUAAAAUCAUACCUAAACUGUCUAAUUCACUGUAAAACUCCAUGACAUUCGCAGGCCAUCUGUAGUUAAGGGAGCAACGCAUGGAAUGAUGUGUAGAUUACUAGUUUGAUGAUGCAUGAGGAGAGGCGGUGGUCGAGUGGCAGAAACUUGGACUAUGGGCAGAGAAGGUCUCUGGUUCGUCUUUGGUUCGACUCCAUGGAGAGACAACAAAAGUCGAACCUGGAUUGAUCUGUCCAAAAAUCCAAGAGUCUCCCUACCCUCUCUAGUGCCCAUGAGCAAGGCACCUCACUCCCCCAACAUCUGCUCCCCCGAGCGCCGUACAUGGUCGCUCACUGCUCUGUGUGUCCUGCACCAGAUGGGUAAAAAGCAGCGAUUAAAUUUCCCUACCUGCAUGAGUGUGCCUUUGCAUGUCUGUGCAUGUGUUUGGGAUGAAUAAAUGGAUUUUAAUCUUAAUCUUUUAAUCUUAAUCAGUUGUCUUCCAGUUGACCAGCAUGAAGCUGCAGAUCUCCACCAUGUUGCUGCUGGGGACAUCAGGAGCUGCAUUAAUGAGGAGCAGAAGCGUACUGUUAUGAAUGUUUUGUGUUGUUUAUGAAGCACUACUUAUUUCAGCUAGAACCGAUGUACUAGGGUCUGGGUUUGUAUCCUAAUGGUUAAAUGCACAUACUUUAAAUCGCUUUUGAUAAAACGUGACAAAGAAAUACAACAUUGUACACAUAGAUAAAAUGUCUUUCUACCUCAUCUGUAAUAUUCAAGGUGAUGAUCUCCCACAGAGCUGUUGAUAACAGUCCACAUCAAGUCUCUCCACUUCCCUCAGUGUGAAAACAUAAUUAUAUAAUUAAUUGGAGAAGUGUUUACAACACUGAUGUGUGGACAUUAUAAUGUUAUCACUACUGUCUAAUUCACUCUACAACUCCAUGACAGACUAAAUAAACAAUGUGAAAAUAGUAAUGGCGGAUAUACCAUCCUGUAUCAGAAUAUUGGUGAAACAGUUACUAUCACAUGAAACG